rnacentral:rRNA from 1 species
AUUCCAGCUCCAAUAGCGUAUAUUAAAGUUGUUGUGGUUAAAAAGCUCGUAGUUGGAUUUCGGCGGGUAUUGGUUGGUUUGAAUUGCUUCAACACUGACUUUUUUACCCGUGUGUUUUGCCAGAAUUUAGCGGGUGAUCUUCGCCGAUUGUCCGUUGGAACUGGUAGGUUUACUUUGAAAAAAUUAGAGUGCUCAAAGCAAGCUUACUGCUUGAAUAGUUGCGCAUGGAAUAAUAGAAUAGGAAGUCGUUUCUAUUUUGUUGGUUUCGAACACCGGAGUAAUGAUUAACAGGGACAGUCAGGGGCACUCGUAUUCCGCCGAGAGAGGUGAAAUUCUCAGACCUGCGGAAGACGAACCACUGCGAAAGCAUUUGCCAGGGAUGUUUUCAUCA